UCGAGAAUUUUUCUCAAUGGGGGAAACCCUGAAGGAGCGACGCCGCGUGGAGGAUGAAGGUUUUCGGAUUGUAAACUCCUGUCAUUUGGGAACAAACCUUCCAUUUAACUGAUGGAAGACUGAUAGUACCAGAAGAGGAAGAGACGGCUAACUCUGUGCCAGCAGCCGCGGUAAUACAGAGGUCUCAACCGUUGUUCGGAUUCAUUGGGCGUAAAGGGUGCGUAGGCGGUCGCGCAAGUCGGAUGUGAAAUCUCGGGGCUCAACCCCGAAACUGCAUUCGAUACUGCGUGGCUAGAGUACUGGAGAGGAGACUGGAAUUUACGGUGUAGCAGUGAAAUGCGUAGAUAUCGUAAGGAAGACCAGUGGCGAAGGCGAGUCUCUGGACAGUUACUGACGCUGAGGCACGAAGGCCAGGGGAGCAAACG
rnacentral:rRNA from 1 species